rfam:Schistosoma rodhaini strain Burundi genome assembly, scaffold: SROB_scaffold0006012
AUCCAGCUGACAAGUCCCAAACAGGACGAAACGCACACCUUGGAU